GUGAAAUCCCCGGGCUUAACCUGGGAACUGCCUUCGAAACUGGNNAGCUAGAGUCUGGUAGAGGGGGGUAGAAUUCCAGGUGUAGCGGUGAAAUGCGUAGAGAUCUGGAGGAAUACCGGUGGCGAAGGCGGCCCCCUGGACAAAUACUGACGCUCAGGUGCGAAAGCGUGGGGAGCAAACAGGAUUAGAUACCCUGGUAGUCCACGCCGUAAACGAUGUCNACUUGGAGGUUGUUCCCUUGAGGAGGGGCUUCCGGAGCUAACGCGUUAAGUCGACCGCCUGGGGAGUACGGCCGCAAGGUUAAAACUCAAAUGAAUUGACGGGGGCCCCCCCAAGCGGGGGAGCAUGUGGUUUAUUUCGUUGCACCGCGAAAAACCUUACCUCCUCUUGACAUCCAGAGAACUANUCAAAAAUGCUUUGGUGCCUUCGGGAACUCUGAGACAGGUGC
rnacentral:rRNA from 1 species